GACGAACGCUGGCGGCGUGCCUAAUACAUGCAAGUAGAACGCAGUUGCGAGCGGGUAAGGAACGCGUAGGUAACUGCCGCAUAGCGGGGGUUAGCUAUUGGGAACGAUAGCUAAUACCGCAUACUGUGAGAUGGACCUGCGUUUGAUUAGGUAGUUGGUUAGGUAAAGGAUCAACAAGGGCACGAUACAUAGCCGACCUGAGAGGGAGAUCCGGCAAACCUGGGCUGAGACAACGCCCCAAAGUCCAACGGAGGGAGCAGUAGGGAAUUUUUGGCAAUUGGCGGAAGUCCUACUGAGCAACGCCGCGUUAGUGAAGAAGGUUUUCGGAUCGGAAAGCCCUGUUGUUAGAGAAGCGGUAACUAACCAGAAAGCGACGGCUAACUACGUGCCAGCAGCCGCGGUAAUAC
rnacentral:rRNA from 1 species